rnacentral:rRNA from 1 species
UUGCUUAAUGCACCACAUGUGUUUUUCUUUGAAACAAACUUGCUUUGGCGGUGGGCCCAGCCUGCCGCCAGAGGUCUAAACUUACAACCAAUUUUUUAUCAACUUGUCACACCAGAUUAUUACUUAAUAGUCAAAACUUUCAACAACGGAUCUCUUGGUUCUCGCAUCGAUGAAGAACGCAGCGAAAUGCGAUACGUAAUAUGAAUUGCAGAUAUUCGUGAAUCAUCGAAUCUUUGAACGCACAUUGCGCCCUCUGGUAUUCCGGAGGGCAUGCCUGUUUGAGCGUCGUUUCUCCCUCAAACCGCUGGGUUUGGUGUUGAGCAAUACGACUUGGGUUUGCUUGAAAGACGGUAGUGGUAAGGCGGGAUCGCUUUGACAAUGGCUUAGGUCUAACCAAAAACAUUGCUUGCGGCGGUAACGUCUACCACGUAUAUCUUCAAACUUUGACCUCAAAUCAGGUAGGACUACCCGCUGAACUUAAGCAUAUCAAUAAGCGGAGGAA